UGGCACCCAACAUGGGGCUCCUGGCAUGGGGGAGUCAACGAGGGAGCCGUUCGAGAACAUCGGUUAAAAGGGAAAGCAAAUUGAAUCAAAGACCAAAGCCUGCGCGGAUGAUCACUCGACGUGCUGCCUGAGUCACGGUGAGUGUAUGACAACCCCAUCCCCUUUCCCCGACAUGGGUCAAGCAUUGAGCGAACAGCAAUUGUUCGUGGGAAGCCUUAGCAAGGCAUUAAAGACAAGAGGUACAAGGAUUAAAACAAAAGAAUUGUUGCAGUAUUUUCAGUUUAUCCAUAAGGUUUGCCCUC
rfam:Cavia porcellus supercont2_9 genomic scaffold, whole genome shotgun sequence.